rfam:Gossypium raimondii chromosome 13, whole genome shotgun sequence.
AGGGAUAUAACUUAGCGGUAAAGUGUCACCUUGACGUGGUAGAAGUAUCAGUUCGAGCCUGAUUAUCCUUA